AGAGUUUGAUCAUGGCUCAGGAUGAACGCUAGCUACAGGCUUAACACAUGCAAGUCGAGGGGAAACGACAUCGAAAGCUUGCUUUUGAUGGGCGUCGACCGGCGCACGGGUGAGUAACGCGUAUCCAACCUGCCCACCACUUGGGGAUAACCUUGCGAAAGUAAGACUAAUACCCAAUGACGUCUCUAGAAGACAUCUGAAAAGAGAUUAAAGAUUUAUCGGUGAUGGAUGGGGAUGCGUCUGAUUAGCUUGUGGCGGGUAACGCCACAAGGCGACAAUCAGUAGGGGUUCUGAGAGGAAGGUCCCCCACAUUGGAACUGAGACACGGUCCAAACUCCUACGGGAGCA
rnacentral:rRNA from 1 species